UGCCAGAACUACCACAGCGACUGCGAAACUGCCAUCGACCUGAUGAUCAACAUGUUGAUGUUUUCCUCUUAUGCAGCUGGGGAAGAAUGUGAAACAGGCCCUGCUGAACAUGCACAAGAUUGCCUCCGACAAGGUUGACCCGCACCCAUGUGACUUCCUGGAGACCCAAUUACCUGAAUGAGCAGGAGGAGGCCAUUAAAGAAGCUGGGUGACCACAUCACCAACCUCACCAAGAUGGAUGCUGUCAACAACAAGAUGGCCGAGUACCUGUUUGACAAGCACACCCUGGGAGGCCAGAGCUAAACCACUUCCAUCCCCAGGCUACGGCCUCC